rnacentral:rRNA from 1 species
UACGUAGGGGGCAAGCGUUGUCCGGAAUCAUUGGGCGUAAAGAGCGUGUAGGCGGCCAGAUAAGUCCGCUGUAAAAGUCCAGGGCUCAACCCUGGAAAGCCGGUGGAUACUGUCGGGCUAGAGUCCGGAAGAGGCGAGUGGAAUUCCUGGUGUAGCGGUGGAAUGCGCAGAUAUCAGGAGGAACACCGAUGGCGAAGGCAGCUCGCUGGGACGGUACUGACGCUGAGGCGCGAAAGCGUGGGGAGCGAACAGG